GAGCGGGAGGGGGUUUAAGGGGAGCCGCGGCGGCGCGAGGCGUUAGUCGCCGUCUUCGCUCGAGGCAGCCGUUUUUCUGUGAGGAGAGGCGCGAGCGGCUGCUGCCUCCCUUUAUCUCCCUGCCCAUGGCCCUGCCGGCGUCGCGCCGCGCCGCUGUUACUAGAGGGAUGGAGAAUGCUGUGACUGAACUUAAAAGUAAAGCCAAACCUCACCUUACUGGCAAAAGGGCUGCUUUGGAAGAAAUAGGAAAUAAAGUUGCAACAAGAGGAACACACAUACCUAAGAAAACAGAAUGCUCUAAAGCAUCCAUAAAGCCUACGAAAGGAUCUAGUAAGAUGACAAAAGUAGUUGUACUGCCUAAACCUCCAGCUGCUGUGAAUCGAGCAAACAAAGAAACUGGUGUUCCAAAGGUUCUGUCUCCUGUUCCUAUGGAUGUAUCUAUGCAAGAGGAGGAUUUGUGUCAAGCCUUCUCUGAUGUGUUGCUCAACAAUGUAGAAGACAUUGAUGCUGAGGACUGGGAGAAUCCCCAGCUCUGUAGUGACUACGUAAAAGAUAUCUAUCUGUACCUGAGAGAGCUUGAGCUGCAGCAGUCAGUCCGCCCGCAUUACCUUGAUGGGAAGACAAUCAAUGGGCGUAUGCGUGCAAUUUUAGUUGACUGGCUUGUCCAGGUCCACUCAAGAUUCCAGCUGUUGCAGGAAACACUGUAUAUGUGUGUUGCAGUUAUGGAUCGCUUCUUACAAAGUCAUCCAGUAGCUCGUAAGAGGCUUCAGCUGGUGGGCGUAACAGCACUGCUUCUAGCCUCAAAAUACGAAGAGGUGUUCUCUCCUUAUGUAGCAGACUUUGUUUACAUUACUGACAACGCCUACACCAGUGAUGAAGUUAGAGAAAUGGAGAUGAUGAUUCUUAAAGAGUUAAACUUUGAUUUGGGACGACCUCUUCCAAUUCACUUCUUAAGAAGAGCAUCAAAAGCUGGGGAGGCUGAUGCUAAGCAACAUACACUAGCAAAAUACCUAAUGGAACUGACACUGAUAGACUAUGACAUGGUUCACCAUCGUCCUUCAGAGAUUGCAGCUGCUGCAUUAUGCUUGUCUCAAAAGAUUCUGGGACAUACCAAAUGGGGUACAAAGCAGCAGUACUACACUGGGUAUACAGAAGACAGUCUUAUGAUGACUAUGAAACAUAUGGCCAAGAAUGUGGUCAAAGUAAAUGAGACGUUAACAAAAUACACUGCCAUAAAGAACAAGUAUGCAAGUAGCAAACUACUGACGAUCAGCACAAUCCCUCAACUGAGCGGCAAGAUAAUCAAGGACCUGGCUUUAUCACUCUUAUGAUAACCCUAGGCAGCCAGUCCUGAUGGUAUAUGCACUUUGUCCUUAUUUGCCUAUUGAGGCAAAACUACUGUUCUUUGUACAUAGCGUUCCAGCCUUUCCAUGGACAUUUGAGAGUCACUCAGAAGUGUCUCCUCUUCAUAAAUGUGCUGGCUCUGAUGUAGAAGGCAAGAACCCAAUACUACAAAAUAGGCCUAGACCUCAAUGCUCCCCUGUGGGAAGGAUGUUGAAGCUACUGAGUUUUAUCUUCUCAAGCAGGAGACUUCUCUCUCCCAUAGGAUAAGUUCAGAAGGCAAAGCAUGAAUGCUGAUAACUGUAUGGCAAGCAACAACCACUCUGGUGUGGGAGGCAAUCAGAUUUAAGCAUUAGCACUUUUGCUUUUGCCAUUUAAAAGGAGUAGUGCAUAUCU